CAUUGACUUGGACAUUUUUGACAAUUUGAACUCCAACA
rnacentral:rRNA from 1 species